rnacentral:pre_miRNA from 1 species
GCCUCCCGUGCCUACUGAGCUGAUUACAGUAAUACAGAAAUGCUGGCUCAGUUCAGCAGGAACAGGAGU